GAUUCCACAGGUCUUUUGCUGAUACUGGAACUUGACUUGCAGGAUGCCCCAAGGAUCUUCCCCUCUUUUCCUAUCACAAAGGAGCUGUAGACAGGUGAAUUUCUUAUAUCCAAAGGAAAUGCCCUUUUGUUGGAAGAUAUAUUGGAUGAUUGCCCAUAUCUUCUUCUACCUGGUCACUUUGGACUUUUAAUACCUAGAGUCAGGACCAGAAAACGAGAUCACUUGUUUUUUGCAGUUACUGUUGACAAAAGACAAUGAUAAGCUAGUGUGCUUGUUACUCAAUAAAGGUAAAACAGCAUUUACAGGA